CCUACGGGAGGCUGCAGUGGGGAAUAUUGCACAAUGGGGGAAACCCUGAUGCAGCGACGCCGCGUGAGUGAAGAAGUAUUUCGGUAUGUAAAGCUCUAUCAGCAGGGAAGAAAAUGACGGUACCUGAUUAAGAAGCCCCGGCUAACUACGUGCCAGCAGCCGCGGUAAUACGUAGGGGGCAAGCGUUAUCCGGAUUUACUGGGUGUAAGGGGAGCGUAGACGGCAGCACAAGUCUGGAGUGAAAUGCCGGGGCUUAACCCCGGAACUGCUUUGGAAACUGUGCAGCUAGAGUGCAGGAGAGGUAAGUGGAAUUCCUAGUGUAGCGGUGAAAUGCGUAGAUAUUAGGAGGAACACCAGUGGCGAAGGCGGCUUACUGGACUGUAACUGACGUUGAGGCUCGAAAGCGUGGGGAGCAAACAGGAUUAGAUACCCCUGUAGUC
rnacentral:rRNA from 1 species